UAAAGCGUUUGUAGGCGGGCGGGUGUGUUUAAUGUUAAAUCUUAAAGCUCAACUUUGAAAUUGCGUUAAAAACUGCUUGUCUUGAGUAUGGUAGGGGUAAAGGGAAUUCCCAGUGUAGCGGUGAAAUGCGUAGAUAUUGGGAAGAACACUAAACAGCGAAGGCACUUUACUAGGCUAAUACUGACGCUGAGAAACGAAAGGUAAGGUAGCGAAACGGAUUAGAUACCCGUGUAGUCUUACCCGUAAACUAUGGACACUAAACGGUAAAUUUUUAAUUUACUGUUAAAGCUAACGCGUUAAGUGUCCCGCCUGGGGAGUAUGCUUGCAAAAGUGAAACUCAAAGGAAUUGACGGGGGCCCGCACAAGCGGUGGAGCAUGUGGUUUAAUUCGACGGUACACGAAGAACCUUACCAGGAUUUGACAUGCUAGAUAGUUGCUUGAAAGAGUAACGUGCCGUAAGGAAUCUAGACACAGGUGGUGCAUGGCUGUCGUCAGUUCGUGUUGUGAAAUGUUGGGUUAAGUCCCGCAACGAACGCAACCCUUGUCUUUAGUUAUUUUCUAAAGAGACCGCCUGUAAUAAACAGGAGGAAGGUAAGGAUGAGGUCAAGUCAUCAUGCCCCUUAUGUCCUGGGCUACACACGUGCUACAAUGGGAAAGACAAUGAGCUGCAAAUCUGUAAAUUUAAGCAAAUCUCUUAAACUUUCUCGUAGUUCGGAUUGUGGGCUGCAACUCGCCCACAUGAAGUUGGAAUCGCUAGUA
rnacentral:rRNA from 1 species